rnacentral:rRNA from 1 species
AUGCCCACGGAGGUGGGCAGGUCUCCCACAAGUACUUUCAACUUUCUCCCGAAUAGAGCGUGGCAGAAUAUUCAUGGAUGGUCGGGCCGGCCUAUGUCCAGGGCAGGGACUGAGACUCUCCUCAAAUCCAAGACUCAAGAUAUUCCCACCUUCAUCUCAAGUUGCUUUCGCUUGCCGGUUGCUAUCUGUGAGAGAUUCCGGCAGAUUGUGUCUGAUCAAUGGUGGGGUCGUGAGGAUGGUAGGAAGAAGAUGCAUUGGUGCUCGUGGGAGUGGCUGACUACACCGAAAUCCCUCGGAGGCAUGGGCUUCCGGGAUAUGGCACUCUUUAACCAGGCGAUGCUCGGCAAACAGGGAUGGUGCCUUCUAACUGACCCUGGAUCACUUUGUGCGCAGGUCUUAAAGGGGAGAUAUUUUCCAUUUACUGAUUUUUGGAAUGCUACUGCUCCCGGCUCGGCCUCGGCCACUUGGUGGGCCAUCCUGCAUGGUAGGGAUCUGCUCAAGAAGGGUGCAAUGGGGGAUUGGGGAUGGGAGAAAUACACAUAUCCUCAAAGAUCACUGGAUGCCUUCUACUCCUCCCGCUUUGCUGCAGCCCCUUUAUCCGAUUCCGGCUUCUGCAACUGUACACUGUUUGAUUGA